UUAUACAUAAUGAAGCUGAAUUAAAAAGAUUUAAAAAAUAGCUUUUUUUAGUCUAAGUGGGCGGGUCUUCACCAGAAUGAACUGCUGUUUUGUGAGAACCUUUCAUCCCUUCAUUAUUUAGACAGACUGUAAAAGUGUCAGUCAUUAAGUUUUCAUCUCUUUCUGUCUUUCUCUGUGUUUCUACACCUCUCACACAUUGAAAACACAAGAUACACAUUCAGUCUCACUGUCAGUAUGAAGGACGCUUGUGAACAUGAGUCACUGUUGGCAGUGAAGGGAACAUGAUCUUAUUAGUCAUGAUUAUAGCAACGCUUCUUUCAGCACAUUGUCCUGACCUCUGCAAUUUCACUUCCUGGCUUUGGGGUUAAAGUUUCAAUAGCUGGUAAUGUUUCGGACCUCUAGUGCCAAGCUUUCCAGAAAAGUCAACAUAUGGAUUACUGAUACAGAUCUACAUAAAGAGAAAUUAAAUGAUUUAAGACAGAUACCCGAGGGAAGUUCACAAACGUUCACUUUCCUGUGAAAGGGCUUUUAAUGGUGUCAUGAGUUUGUUUCUGGUCAUGAGACCCAUGAAGGAGACCACAAGACCUCCAUCAGGACCUCCAUUAGUCCAGCAGGACUCCUCCUCUUCCCCUCAUGCUCCGGAUUAGCCGCGUUCCUCGGAAAGCCAGGCACGACGAGGAAUUAGACACAUGUUUCUCGAUUCUGCAGCGCUUAAUGGGUCGUUUGGCAUGGCAUCCGGUUUAGAUUGGUUUGUUGUGGAUUUCAGCAUGUGACUGAUGAUAAUAUUACAUAACCACGAAGCCAGAGGACUUUGAGGCAUGUGAGGAAGAAAUGUUUGUCACUUUCUUUCUUACUUUUAUCAGCCCCCGGGUAAAAAACUGAAUCUGAAAGUAACAUCUGCUCAACAAGACAUGUGAUUCAAUGCUGGAGAUUCAUAAAAGUUUGGAAUAAUAAAGUUUUUUUGAAGUUUUGAAGUCUUUUCUGCUCACAAAGGCUGCAUUUAUUCGAUCCAAAAUACAGUAAAGAUUGUGAAAUAUUAUUCCAGUUUAAUAUAUAUUGUAUUUAUAGCUGUGUAUUUUCAGCAUCAUUCCCCCAGUCUUCAGUGAUCUUCAGAAAUCAUUCUAAUAUGAUGAUUUACUGCUCAAGAAACAUUUCUGAUCAUUAUAAUCAAUGUUGAAAACAGUUGGAAACUGAGAUAUAUCAUUCAAAAGCUUGGGGUCAGUAAGAUUAAAAAAGAAAACAAAAAUUCAGCAGGGAUGCAUUAAAGUGAUGAAAAGUGCCAGUAAAGACAUAUAUAUGAAUAUUAUAUUUUAAAUAAAUGCUGUUCUUUUGAACUUUCUGUAUAUUGAAAAAUAAAAUGAGCAAAUCAUCAUAUUUUCAUGAUUUCUGAAGAUCAUGUGACACUGAAAACUGGAGGAAUGAUGCUGAAAAUACAGCGGAGCAUCACAGAAAUAAAUUACAUUCUAGCAGAUAUUCACAUAGAAAAGCUUUAUUUAAAAUGAUAAUAAUAUUUCACAAAAAUUUUCAAUCCUUGGGGAACACACAGACUUGUUUCAAAAACACUGAAAAAUCUUAGUUAUUAGUAAAGUUAUUCCAGAUUUGUCUCCAGUAUUGCAGAAGGCUCCAGCAGUGAGAGUUUUAUACGGAGACAGGUGUGAGGUUCUAAUCAUCUUGCCAUCUGUUCUUGUAUUGCGGUCAUGGAAUGUCAGUCUUCCAGAAUAU